rnacentral:rRNA from 1 species
GAUGAACGCUGGCGGCGUGCCUAAUACAUGCAAGUCGAGCGAACGGACGAGAAGCUUGCUUCUCUGAUGUUAGCGGCGGACGGGUGAGUAACACGUGGAUAACCUACCUAUAAGACUGGGAUAACUUCGGGAAACCGUAGCUAAUACCGGAUAAUAUUUUGAACUGCAUGGUUCAAAAGUGAAAGUCGGUCUUGCUGUCACUUAUAGAUGGAUCCGCGCUGCAUUAGCUAGUUGGUAAGGUAACGGCUUACCAAGGCAACGAUGCAUAGCCGACCUGAGAGGGUGAUCGGCCACACUGGAACUGAGACACGGUCCAGACUCCUACAGGAGGCAGCAGUAGGGAAUCUUCCGCGAUGGGCGAGAGCCUGACGGUGCAACGCCGCGUAAGUGAUGAAGGUCUUCGGAUCGUAGAACUCUGUUAUUAGGGAAGAACAUAUGUGUAAGUAACUGUGCACAUCUUGACGGUACCUGAUCAGAAAGCCACGGCUAACUACGUG